AUGGCGAGCAUUUGGAAGGGCCGCUCCUGUGUUUGCUUCCUCCAUGGUCCAAAUGUGAGCUUCAGUUAUGUAUAAAGUGUUAUUGUUUCUCAUCAGUCACCUCACAUUGCGCUGUGAUCCUAUUUGGCAUUGCCGAAAGGUGUAUCCGCAGCGCACGGUUAAUUAUUGCACGAUUACGUCUUCCUUACUAGGCACAACGGAGCCGCCUCACAGAGCAGAUUAGAAGAUCAAACCCCACUGGCGGAGCAAAAAUAAACCUACUGUACUCCCAGAAGACGCGUACUUUCGCCUUAUUGCACACGGAAAGGAAAAUGAUCCUAUGUAUUAUUUCCGGGUAGAUUUACUUGUAGCAGCUGGCGGCUAGAAGAAACUGAGCAAGCUCCGUGCGCAUAUUCCCACUCAUCUGGAGGGCACACCAUCCUUCCUUGCCAAGUCGCGUGGAAAGGCAUCUAAGACACGCUUGGCCUUGGACCACCUGCUGAAAGAAGACCCAGGAGGGCGCAUCUCUUUUGCAUGGUUUCUCGUGACAGUGAUAUACCGUGUAUCAGCCCUGCAGGGGCAGCAAGCUGAAGAACAGAGCCACAACCUACGAAGACGUUCUGGGGAUUGUUUCAAAAAGAGGAGAAGUAUAAGGCACCGUUUUACUUGGUAGCCAGAUACACCUAAUGUACUUUAAACUAGAAGGUAUUGUUUUGAUCGCUGCAGAUUCAACAAACUUCACAGGUUUUUCCACCCUUUCUCUGUACGUACAAUAAA